GACUACUGGUGGCAGCAGUGGGGAAUAUUGCACAAUGGGGGAAACCCUGAUGCAGCAACGCCGCGUGAAGGAAGACGGUUUUCGGAUUGUAAACUUCUAUCAAUAGGGAAGAAAGAAAUGACGGUACCUGAAGAAGAAGCCCCGGCUAACUACGUGCCAGCAGCCGCGGUAAUACGUAGGGGGCAAGCGUUAUCCGGAUUUACUGGGUGUAAAGGGGGCGCAGACGGGGAUGCAAGCCAGGAGUGAAAGCCCGGGGACCAACCCCGGGACUGCUCUUGGAACUGCGUGGCUAGAGUGCAGGAGGGGCAGGCGGAAUUCCGGGUGUAGCGGUGAAAUGCGUAGAUAUCAGGAGGAACACCGGUGGCGAAGGCGGCCUGCUGGACUGCAACUGACGUUGAGGCCCGAAAGCGUGGGGAGCAAACAGGAUUAGAUACCCCAGUAGUC
rnacentral:rRNA from 1 species